UAAGUAAGCUUUGAUCCAGAGAUUUCCGAAUGGGGAAACCCAGCAUGAGUUAUGUCAUGUUAUCGAUAUGUGAAUACAUAGCAUAUCAGAAGGCACACCCGGAGAACUGAAACAUCUUAGUACCCGGAGGAAGAGAAAGAAAAUUCGAUUCCCUUAGUAGCGGCGAGCGAAACGGGAAGAGCCCAAACCAACAAGCUUGCUUGUUGGGGUUGUAGGACACUCUAUACGGAGUUACAAAGGACGACAUUAGACGAAUCAUCUGGAAAGAUGAAUCAAAGAAGGUAAUAAUCCUGUAGUCGAAAAUGUUGUCUCUCUUGAGUGGAUCCUGAGUACGACGGAGCACGUGAAAUUCCGUCGGAAUCUGGGAGGACCAUCUCCUAAGGCUAAAUACUCUCUAGUGACCGAUAGUGAACCAGUACCGUGAGGGAAAGGUGAAAAGCACCCCGGAAGGGGAGUGAAAUAGAACCUGAAACCGUGUGCUUACAAGUAGUCAGAGCCCGUUAAUGGGUGAUGGCGUGCCUUUUGUAGAAUGAACCGGCGAGUUACGAUUUGAUGCAAGGUUAAGCAGUAAAUGUGGAGCCGUAGCG
rnacentral:rRNA from 1 species